GCCAAUUUCAUCAGGUAGUACAUUACAUAACCGAACAGCUGAUGGCUAUAUAUAAUUGCACAAAUGGGGGCAGAGUACAUCCCUUCGGAGCCAGCUGAUGGUUUACUCUAUUCUUUUCUCUACUCACAUGCACUGUUUACGUCCCGCACAUACAAUGAUGCCGUUGCCAAACAGAGGCUGCCUGGAAUUCUGCAAACUAGAAAGUUGGAGCGCCACUGCUCGCACCGGGAGAUAAGACUUUGACUUACACUCAUUGUGGGUACCCGAUGUACUUGGUCCACUACACAUUAUCACGUUGUGAAACAAAAUGGUAUCGGGAGAAGCGAUAAGCAUGAGCACGACGUGCUCUCUGAGUCGCUCUUUACAUUGGUAAAAACUUCACAAAUUAUACAACGUUGUCGGCAAGGCAAGGUACAUGGUUCUUUGACUAACUGAACAAAAUUCAGCAAGGCAAACAACAUUUCCUAAUCAAGCCAAUCCAAUAGGAUCUUCACCUGCACACCCAUCAAACGUACCAUCCCACUUGUCGAUCAAAGGAGUACAAAACCAAAAUAUAUAAUCAAAAAAAGCAAGAGAAAACAACAGGGCCUUCAGCUGCACACCCAUCAUUGGCUAGAUGUCACCACGAAUAAAAAAGGUGCUUUGAUAAAUUCACCACAUUUCUGGCCUGUGAAGUUCUUUGGUACAUCAUGUUCUUUUAUUUCUCAUGCAUAUAGCCUGCAAAUAUAAUCUCAGCUUGUUGGUGAGAGAUAUGUAGGAAGGAAGUUGUUCUGAAACGUUCCCCUAAAAAAAACUUGUUCUGAAGCCAAAUAAAUCAGAAGAAAUAUCAAAGUAACUACACAAACAGAAAAGCAUGAACUGCUCCUACUGAAAGGCCACGGAGGCAUUCAAUACCAAAACCUUUCAACCUCUCUUCCCCUUCUUACUCUUAAAUUCACUGAAUCAAAGAAAUCUCUCUCUUCCCUCAUGAAACAGAAAUAAAAAAUUGCAAGGAUCUGCAAGACCAAGACCUAGAAGAAUAUAACACGGGAAGGAAAAGCUCACCACUUCUUUUAUGAGGUAGACAGCGUUGGAAGAAUUAGCUGAUCUUACUCAACAAACUAUGUCCCCGCACAUAUAUGAGCAUCAGUUUCUUUUAUCAAUACCAACAGCCAGCGGCACACCCACAAUGUUAAUUUUGUUUAGUAUAAGCGCACCCAUGAAAACUGUUGAAAUCAGUAAGGAAGAAAGGAAAGAAAUAUCCACAGAGGAGGAAGGGGAAGGGAGUCUGUCCAGCACCACGUCGUCCUUUCGCCGGCGCUGCCGCAUAAGGAAGAGGAAUAACAGCCACACCCCCAGCACGGCAUCUGGCCGGAGCACAUCAAGAGGACCGACAGGAGACGAAACAUCUGCAGCCCGCCUGCCUGACAUGGAGACCUGCACCACGCAACCCGUAGAAAUGAACCACUGGUCGAAACCACCGGCCAUCUCGGCAUCAGAUAGGCAGAAAGAUAGGGGGAAGACCCACUAGCACCAGCAGGCCACUCGGGAGGCCGCUGCCCAAGUCAGCUACCAACCCCGCGCACACCAGUGCAGCAUGCCACAGCCCCUAGCACAGUCGUGCCGGCGCCCCAUGCUCUCCACCACGGCAACCGCCCCGCCGGCGCGAGAUCCAGCAGACCACGCGGGGGACCUCCGCCCCAUCCAGUGGCCAACAGCGCUCACACCAGCGUUGUGCACCACGGCCUCGAGCACGGCCGUGCGCCGCAUGGCACCAUGCCGGAGCAACAUGCGUCGCCGCCACCACCUCCACACGCGCUAGCCGGAGAAGCAACCCCGCCGCUUCCCGCCAGGUAGAAAGACGCCCCGCCGUCUCCAUCCCCGGAGACAGACAAGCUUCGUCGGCCGACGCCUCCGGCGGCGGUGGGUCAGGGGAGGGAAGGGGAGGAGAAAGUGGCGCUGCUAGGUCUUCACCCCUCAAGUGGUGGACGACGCGGGGGCCCAGGGGAGAAGGGUGAGAUGUGUGGACGGCUGGGCUGCAUGCACGGGUG
rnacentral:rRNA from 1 species